UCCGUCGUGGUGUAAUGGUUAGCAUCAGCCGCUCUCAUGAGCAAGCUACCGGCUAGAUCCGGGUUCAAUUCCCGGCGACGGAA